GAGAUUUGUCUCAAAUGACAAAUUAAGAGCUGUUAAACAUUCAAAAGAGGACCCAGAGGUAAACUUCAUGAAGAAAGAGGCAUACCAUAGACUUAGAAGCUAGAAUCCAAAGCAAGGGAUGACGACAGAGAGACAAAAAUUAUAUCUAGUGUAUUGUGUGGCAGAUGUUUGUCUGUUUGUAUCAUCAUCAUCAUCAUCAUCAUCAUCAAAUAGAAAAUGUUCCUCCUAAAAAAAUAUCUUUGAAGAUGCUGAAGAUAUCUUGAUAGAAAUACACACAGUCUUUAUUAUUAUUACCACCACCACCUCAUACAGAAAAUCAAGACAAGAUUCCUCAGCUGCAUCCAAGAUCACGAAAGAAGACCAAAAGAACCAGUACAGCAAACCUUGUUUAAACCUGCUGCCAUCCUGAAACAAGAUACUGAGCCGGGUCUCACGAUCAGUGAGAUCCGGUUUGUAAAGAAAAACACAAGAAUUUGAACCCAGGAAACACCUGACAUGGAAUAAGCUACAGAGAACUAUAUAAUAUCUCCAAUACAUUAGCACACCAUUUUAUAAGUUUCUAGUACAU